ACAAACAGGGUUUGAUGAGUCUGAAAGAUGAGGCAGAUGAUGUAGCUGCCAUCACAGGAAACAGAAAAGAGGUACAAAAUGGCUUCAAAGGAUGUGGGAAAUUCAGAAAAGGUCAUUUUAAUACAAAAGAGUGAGUUCUGCUUUACAGAG